rnacentral:rRNA from 1 species
AUUGAACGCUGGCGGCAGGCUUAACACAUGCAAGUCGAGCGGUGGAAGGUGCUUCGGUACUUACCGUAGCGGCGGACGGGUGAGUAACGCUUAGGAAUCUGCCUAUUAGUGGGGGACAACAUCCCGAAAGGGCUGCUAAUACCGCAUACGUCCUACGGGGGAAAGCAGGGGAUCACUUGUGACCUUGCGCUAAUAGAUGAGCCUAAGUCGGAAUAGCUAGUUGGUGGGGUAAAGGCCUACCAAGGCGACGAUCUGUAGCGGGUCUGAGAGGAUGAUCAGUCACACUGGGACUGAGACACGGCCCAGACUCCUACGGGAGGCAGCAGUGGGGAAUAUUGGACAAUGGGGGGAACCCUGAUCCAGCCAUGCCGCGUGUGUGAAGAAGGCCUUAUGGUUGUAAAGCACUUUAAGCGAGGAGGAGGCUCUUUGGUUAAUACCCAAGAUGAGUGGACGUUACUCGCAGAAUAAGCACCGGCUAACUCUGUGCCAGCCGCCGCCGUAAGAC